rnacentral:lncRNA from 1 species
CACCCUGCAUCUGAUCCCUGGCUUAGGAAUCAGAUCCGCAGUUUCAAACCAACCCCAGAUACUUCAGAGAUAAUGACAGAUCCUUAACCUGCUGUGCCACAGUGGGAACUCCUAUCCAUCUUGUUUCUGAUGCAUUUCAAAGCAACUUGCAGACAAUUAUACUUCACCACUUAGCACUACAGCACUCAUAUGAUACAGCACUCAUAAAUUUUUAUGGCAAAAUUUACUUACAAUGAAAUCACAAAUUUACUAUAUCGUAUGUUUGCUAUAUAAAAUAACAUUUAUUUAUAUAAUCUACAAAAAUAUGUAUUAUUAUGUCCUGAUAUUUAAAAGUUCAUAGCAUGUUAUGUUCAUGUUCCCCCAAAAUUAGUUAUGUUGAAGUUCUAUCCGCCAAUGGAGCGGUAUCUGGAGAUGGGUUCUUUGGGAAGUCAUUAAGGUUAGAUUAGAUUAGGGCAUGAGGACAGAGCCCUCAUGAUAGGAUUAGUGGCCUUACAAGAAGAGGAAGAGAUCUCUCACCUCUCCCCUCUCCCCACAUACGCCCACUGGGGAAAGGCCAUUUGAAGAUAAACUCAGAAGUCUGCAACUCCAGAAGAGUCUUCACCAGAAACUGAAUUGGCCAGCACCUUAAUCCUGGACUUCAUAGCCUCUAGGAGUGUGAGAAAAUAAACUUCUGUUUAAGUCACCAAUCUACGGCAUUUUGUUAUGGCAGCCUGAGCACACUAAGACAUAGAGUUAUUAGGAAGCCACAGAAAGGGCUUUAAUACAUACUUUCUUCAAGAUCACAUUGACUGAGUGUGGAGGAAGGGAUGAACAAGGACAAGAAUAGAUUCAGGAAGACUGGAUAAGAGGCUAAGACAGUAGAUUGGGCCAGAAGUGAUCUCAGCUUGCCUAGAACCAUAACAGUAGAGGCGGAAAAUAGUAAGUGCAAGAAACACUUAGUGGGUAAGACAGACAGAAUUUGUUGAUGAAGAAAGGAUAGAAACCAAGCAUAAAUCUCAGAUUUCUUACUUGAGCAAUUGCUGGCUGUUGGUAUGACCAGCUACUGAGGUAGGGAACACAGAGGAGAAGUGGGCUUUAUUUUUGGAGGGUGGGGUAGGGGAAGUUGAGUUUAGUUUUAGACAUACUCAACUUGAGAUGCCUAUGAGAUUCAGUAGACAUUUGAAAAGUACAUCUGGAGCUUUGAGGACUGGGCUGGGCUGGAGAUAAACAUUGAGUUCCAGCCAUAAAAAAGAACAAACUAAUGCCAUUUGCAGCAACAUGGAUGGAACUAGAGACUCUCAUACUAAGUAAGUCAGAGAAAGACAAAUACCAUAUGAUUAUCACGUACAUCUGGAAUCUAAUAUAAGGCACAAAUGAACUUUUCCACAGAAAAGAAAAUCAUGGACUUGGAGAAAAGACUUGUGGUUGCCAAGUCUGCCAAAUUCCUGACAAGGGGAGGAGGGAGCGGGAUGGACUGGGAAUUUGGGGUUAAUAGAUGCAAACUACUGCCUUUGGAAUGGAUAAGCAAUGAGAUCCUGCUGUAUAGCCUGGAAACUAUAUCUAGUCACUUAUGAUGGAGCAUGAUAAUGUGAGAAAGAAGAAUGUAUAUAUGUAUGUGUGACUGGGUCACCUUGCUGUACAGUAGAAAAUUGACAGAAUACUGUAAACCAUCUAUAAUGGGAAAAAAAUCAUUAAAAAUAAAUAAAUAAAUAAAUAAAGGAGUUAGAGCAGCAAGUGUCAGCUGAGACUGAAAAGAAGUAGUAACAGAGGUAAAGAGUACCAGAAGCCUAGAUAAGUUAAAUAAGCUAAAUGUUUAAUCGCAUUUGGUGAAGACAAUGAAUCUCUUCACCACAAAGAUGGUUUCACACCAUCAGAACAUCCGAAACCAGUGGGCCACAGACCAGUGGUUUUCAUUGCGUGGUCCUCAGAACAGCAGCAUCCACAUCACCUGGGCACUUGUUAGCAAUGAAAACUGGGCAGCCUCACCUCAUACCAACUGAGUCAGAAUCCUGGGGUUGGGCGUGGCAAUCUGUGUUUUAACAAGCCUCUGGGUGAUUCUGAUGCUUACUAAAGUCUGAGAAUUGCUGCUCUAGGCAGUGCUAAAAGAGCACCUGAUAACAAUUGCUUAAGAAACCAAUCCCCUUUGCAUAAACACGUUUUCCUUUGGAUCUCUUAAUACGUUUCACCAAAUUGCUAGAGCCUGAGCAGCAACAUUCUGUGUCCACCCCACGUUUAUUGUAACACAGAUCCCAUCUGGUCCUCUGACUACCUACCACUUCUCCCUCCACUGGGUAUAUCUUUUUUGCUCACUCCUAACAUGUAAUUAUUUAUGAUGUUUGCUCCUUCAUCGCUUCUCUCUGUGCAUUUUUUCAAUUUCUGAUCCUGCUACCAACUGAACAAAUCUCUAAAUCUCACGGUUUAAAUUUGUGAGCGACAUAGAUUGUUGGUGAAACCGCACUGGUACAACUUGGGGGAGUCAUUUGGCAUCAUUUAUUGAAACAACAGAAACAUCGCCUUUGACCCAGUAAUUAGACUUCCAAGAAUUGAUUCUACAGAGGUACCUGCACAUGUGUACAAAGAAGUGAAGCCUCUCUCCCCACACUCGGCCAGAGGCCAGCUCAACCACUCUCAGUCGGUGGCAAGGCCACCCUUUACGCCGCCAGUCCGAGGCCAGGUCCUACCCGGAGGGCCUCUCUCCCGGGGUCUCAGUUCACACCUCACUUCCCACUUCAGUCAGCAGCUGGGGAAGUUCUCACAGCCUCACCGUUCCGCGCGACCGCCCCCAACACCGGGCCAAGCCGGCUGCGACUUGAUUUUCUCUCUCUCUCUCCCUCUUUUUUUCUCCUGAGUAACGAAGGACGAGGGCCACCGCCAAGCCCCGUGACCGCGGCUCCGA